rnacentral:sRNA from 2 species
UACGAACUUCGUUAGGUGAGGCUCCUGUAUGGAGAUACGCUGCUGCCCAAAAAUGUCCAAAGACGCCAAUGGGUCAACAGAAAUCAUCGACAUAAGGUGAUUUUUAAUGCAGCUGGAUGUUUUGCGUCCUAUGCCAUACAGUGCUAAAGCUCUACGAUUGAAGGCGACC